GAAUCCUUUCUUGGUCUUCAGCUGCGGACCCCCCACCGUCACCCCAAAACCUCAUCUCUGAGAGCUGUGUGCCCCCAGGGCACGUAGACUGCGUCCUGUGGUGGCUGGAUUCUUCAGGAGCCUCAGCUUUCAGGCAGGUACAAAAAACAAUGUGGCAGUAUGACAACUUCCGACUCGAUGCCCACCUCCCCACAACCCAUCACACCCACUUGACCCAUCCAAAGCCCACGUCACCCCAAUAGACUCCCGCCACCUUUGGGAAAGGGUCACUCGAUCUGGAGAACGCUGGGGAAGUUACAUCUUAAGAAAGAAUCACAUUACAUACAGGAACAUUCGAGGACACAGUCACCAAGUUUUUACCCAGCGUAAAGAAUGCACCAAGCCCGGUGAUGCAGUCUCAGGAUGAAAGCUAGCGCUGGGGAAGGAGCUAGCCCCCCAAAUCUGGCGUAUGAGAACGUGGGGUGUGGAUGUGGGACCCAGACUCGGAUUCUCAUCCUGGCUCAGUCCACCAGCAGCUGUAGGACCCUGGGCCGGCAUCUGAUCUGUCUUGAUUUCCUCACCUGCAAAGCUGGGUCACAGUGGCCUCAGAGCAGAGUGGGAAGGAUGGAAAGGGACAAUGGCAAGAGUGGUGAGCUCGACACCUGACCCAGGAGAGACCAGCCAGCAUCUGCCACUACUGUGUUGGCAUUGCUGCUAACGGGAGGCUGAAUGCAGUGUCUGGCCGCUGCACCUGGAGUGAGAAGCAAGGGGCCCACAAAGACCAGAGUCACCCCCCAGGAAGACGGACCCCAGCAUGUGGGACUCAGCCCAUAAGGUUAGCUGUUGGCCGCACUCCAGCUUCUCCUGGGGGCAGAACCAGAAGUCCAGACCCAUAGAACCCUUCCUCAGAGCCAGACCGUGGCCUCUCACUGUCACCAAGCUGAGGCUCCCACAAGCGGUUCCCUCGGUUUGAAAAAGAGCAGAACGUUCAGGGAGAAACUUGCGGGACCCAGAGAAGCCAAGAGGUCCUCAAGG